rnacentral:rRNA from 1 species
AUUGAACGCUGGCGGCAUGCCUUACACAUGCAAGUCGAACGGUAACAGGUCUUCGGAUGCUGACGAGUGGCGAACGGGUGAGUAAUACAUCGGAACGUGCCCGAGAGUGGGGGAUAACGAGGCGAAAGCUUUGCUAAUACCGCAUACGAUCUCAGGAUGAAAGCAGGGGACCGCAAGGCCUUGCGCUCACGGAGCGGCCGAUGGCAGAUUAGGGAGUUGGUGGGAUAAAAGCUUACCAAGCCGACGAUCUGUAGCUGGUCUGAGAGGACGACCAGCCACACUGGGACUGAGACACGGCCCAGACUCCUGCGGGAGGCAGCAGUGGGGAAUUUUGGACAAUGGGCGCAAGCCUGAUCCAGCCAUGCCGCGUGCAGGAUGAAGGCCUUCGGGUUGUAAACUGCUUUUGUACGGAACGAAAAGACUCCUUCUAAUAAAGGGGGUCCAUGACGGUACCGUAAGAAUAAGCAUCGGCUAACUACGUGCCAGCCGCCGCGGUAAUAC